UACAGAGGGGGCAAGCGUUAAUCGGAAUUACUGGGCGUAAAGCGUGCGCAGGCGGCUAUGCAAGACAGAUGUGAAAUCCCCGGGCUCAACCUGGGAACUGCAUUUGUGACUGCAUGGCUAGAGUACGGUAGAGGGGGAUGGAAUUCCGCGUGUAGCAGUGAAAUGCGUAGAUAUGCGGAGGAACACCGAUGGCGAAGGCAAUCCCCUGGACCUGUACUGACGCUCAUGCACGAAAGCGUGGGGAGCGAACAGG
rnacentral:rRNA from 1 species